CUACGGGUUGCACCAGUGGGGAAUAUUGGACAAUGGGCGAAAGCCUGAUCCAGCCAUGCCGCGUGUGUGAAGAAGGUCUUCGGAUUGUAAAGCACUUUAAGUUGGGAGGAAGGGCAGUAAGCGAAUACCUUGCUGUUUUGACAUUACCGACAGAAUAAGCACCGGCUAACUCUGUGCCAGCAGCCGCGGUAAUACAGAGGGUGCAAGCGUUAAUCGGAAUUACUGGGCGUAAAGCGCGCGUAGGUGGUUUGUUAAGUUGGAUGUGAAAGCCCCGGGCUCAACCUGGGAACUGCAUCCAAAACUGUCAAGCUAGAGUACAGUAGAGGGUGGUGGAAUUUCCUGUGUAGCGGUGAAAUGCGUAGAUAUAGGAAGGAACACCAGUGGCGAAGGCGACCACCUGGACUGAUACUGACACUGAGGUGCGAAAGCGUGGGGAGCAAACAGGAUUAGAUACCCCCGUAGUC
rnacentral:rRNA from 1 species